rnacentral:rRNA from 1 species
GCCCUUAGAGUUUGAUCUGGCUCAGAAUGAACGCUGGCGGCGUGCCUAACACAUGCAAGUCGCGCGAGAAAGCCCCUUCGGGGGUGAGUAAAGCGGCGGACGGGUGAGUAACGCGUGGACAACCUACCCUGGGGUUGGGGAUAACCCUGCGAAAGCGGGGCUAAUACCGAAUACGCUGUACAUUCCCUGGUUGUUAAUGGCUUCGAGGGUAUGUAUGGGAAAGGUGGCCUCUGUUGCAAGCAACCGCCCUGGGAUGGGUCCGCGUCCCAUUAGCUAGUCGGUGGGGUAACGGCCUACCGAGGCGACGAUGGGUAGCCGGCCUGAGAGGGUGAUCGGCCACACUGGGACUGGAACACGGCCCAGACUCCUACGGGAGGCAGCAGUGGGGAAUCUUGGGCAAUGGGCGCAAGCCUGACCCAGCAACGCCGCGUGUGGGAAGAAGGCCUUCGGGUCGUAAACCACUGUCAGGAGGGAAGAAAAGCAGAUGUCGAACAGGCAUCUGUCUUGACGGUACCUCCAGAGGAAGCGCCGGCCAACUACGUGCCAGCAGCCGCGGUAAGACGUGGGGGGCUAGCGUUGUCCGGAAUUACUGGGCGUAAAGGGCGUGUAGGCGGCCUAUCAAGUCAGUGGUGAAAGCCCUCGGCUCAACUGAGGAAUUGCCAUUGAAACUGGUGGGCUUGA